rnacentral:rRNA from 1 species
AUGUUUAUGUGUAAUGCGUGCUUGAUUUUUUUGUGGUUCUGGUGGAUUUUGAUUUUCUCCACCAUGCUUCUCUCCAACGGGAUGAGUCUGUUUUCGCAGCAGCGGGUGAUGCAUGUGCUUAUUGUUGGCUGUUGCUAUGUGGCGAUGUGUGGUAGAAGCUGUACUCACAGGAAGACUAUCGUGCUGUGUAUAAACCACGUUCCACGAUUCACUUCUGUUAUGCAUAUUUACUUUCCAGUUUUAGGACUGAAAUCCAUCCAUUGUAAUGAAUUUGGUUGUAUGGGCAUUACCUAUUUGACUUAG